CAAGCCUUCUUCUAUGCGGUUUAGUUGUUCUAAGAAUAAGUUGUGAAGUUAACACUUUGUGUUCCAUUCACAGUGUCAACCAGAAAAUGCUAUUAUUAUGGAACAGCAAACUUCAACCUUGAAUCUACCAAUAACUCCCCACAAUCACUCAGAUCACUGGAUCACUGAGCUGAGACCACCAAGUAAUUUAUAAAGCAAAGAGAAGAAAUUUAAGCCAGCUGUAGAAAUUUGCGUUAAGUAACAAGGAGCUGAAUGUUAAUCACCAAAACAAUGGGAAAAAUGUCUCCAGGGCAUAUCAGAGAUCUUCAUGGCAGCCCCUCCCAUCACAAGACCUGAGGCCUAGGAAGAAAAAAUGGUUUCGUGGGCAGCCUCAGAACUUGGGGCCCUGAGUCCCAGCUGCUCCAGCUCCUGGCUAAAAGGGGUCAAGGUACAGCUUGGGCUGUUGCUUCAGAGGGUGCAAGCCCCAAACCUUGGUAGCUUCCACGUGGUAGCUGGGCCUGCAGGUGCACAGAAGUCAAGAAUUGAGGUUUGGGAACCUCUGUCUAGAUUUCAGAGGAUGUACGGAAAUGCCUGGAUGUCCAGGCCAAAGUCUGCUGCAGUGGAAGAGACCUCAUGGAGAACCUCUGCUAGGGCACUGCAGAAAGGAAACGUGGGAUUGGACACCGCCCACCCCCCAGAAUCCCCACUGGGGCACUGCCUAGUGGAGCUGUGAGAAGAGGGCCACCAUUCUCCAGACUCCAGAAUGGCAGGUCUACAAACAGCUUGCACUAUGAACCUGGAAAAGCCUCAGGCACUCAAUGCCAGCCCAGCAGAGCAGCCUCUGGGCCUGAACCCUGCAAAGCCACAGGGUCAGAACUGCUCAAGGCCUUGGGAGCCCACCCUUGGCAUCAGCGUGCCCUAGAUGUGAGACAUGGAGUCUAAGGAGAUUAAAAUAAGUUUUAAGACGUAAUGGCUGUCCCACUGGAUUUUGGACUUGCAUAGGGCCGGUAGCCCCUUUGUUUUGGCCAAUUUCUCCCAUUUGGAAUGGGAGCAUUUACCAAUGCCUAUUCCCCCAUAGCAUCUUUAGAAGUAACUAACUUGCUUUUGAUUUUACAGGCUCCUAGGCAAAAGGGACUUGCCUUGUCUCAGAUGAGACUUUGGACUUGGACUUUUGGGUUAAUACUGGAAUGAGUUAAGAUUUUGGAGGCCUGUUGGGAAGGCAUGAUUGUGUUUUGAACUGUGAGGACAUGAGAUUUGAAAGGGGCCAGGGAAUCUGGGCGUGGUGGCUCAUGCCUGUAAUCCCAGCACCUUGGGAAGAUGAGGUGGGUGGAUCAUGAGGUCAGGCGUUUGAGACCAGCCUGGCCAAUAGAGUGAAACCCCGUCUCUACUAAAAAAUGCAAAAAUUAGCCAGGCGCGGUGGCUCACGCCUGUAAUCCCAGCACUUUGGGAGGCGGAGGCCGGUGGAUAACCUGAGGUCAGGAGUUUGAGACCAGCCUGGCCAACAUGGCAAAACCCCAUCUCUACUAAAAAUACAAAAAUUAGCCAGGCCUGGUGGCAGGUGCCUGUAAUCCCAGCUACUUGGGACGUUGAGGCAGAAGAAUUGCUUGACCCUGGGAGGCGGAGGUCGCAGUGAGCCAAGAUCGCGCCACUGCACUCCAGCCUGAGCGACAGAGCAAGACCCCAUCUCAAAAAAAAAAAAAAAAAAAAAAUUAGCCAGGUUUGGUGGCACACAUUUGUAGUCUCAGCUACUCAGGAGUGUGAGGGAGGAGAAUCGCUUGAAGUGUUGGAG
rnacentral:lncRNA from 1 species